GCUCUGAAGGGAAGGGGGGGGGCUUUUACGUCAUCAAUCUGCGCCACCUGACUCCCAAGACCCUGGCUUUGGAGUGGGAAGUGGGGUGUGGGAAGUAGGUCGCUUUCUGAUGAAUUCAGUGGCAGUGAAUUGAGACCGGAGGGAAUCUGGCCCCUAGAGGCUGGUACUUGCGCCCGAAACCCCCAUCUCCGGCGGAGAGACCGGCCGAGGUAAUUGUCUGCCACGAGUGCACAUUCUGAAAACAGGAGAUUUUAGUUCCUAAAAAUGGGAAGAACCUACAUUGUAGAAGAGACUGUUGGCCAGUAUCUUUCAAACAUAAAUCUCCAAGGAAACGCUUUUGUCUCUGGCCUUUUAAUAGGACAGUGUUCGUCACAAAAGGAUUAUGUGAUUCUUGCCACUAGAACGCCACCCAAAGAGGAGCAAAGUGAGAACCUCAAACAUCCCAAAGCUAAGUUGGAUAACUUGGAUGAAGAAUGGGCCACAGAACAUGCCUGCCAGGUAUCCAGAAUGCUACCAGGGGGACUUUUAGUUCUUGGAGUAUUUAUUAUUACUACUUUAGAACUGGCAAAUGAUUUUCAAAAUGCCCUGCGUAGACUAAUGUUUGCUGUGGAAAAGUCUAUAAAUAGAAAGAGAUUGUGGAAUUUCACAGAGGAGGAAGUCUCAGAACGAGUGACACUUCACAUUUGUGCUUCUACAAAAAAAAUAUUUUGUCGAACUUAUGAUAUCCAUGAUCCAAAGAGUUCAGCAAGACCAGCAGACUGGAAGUAUCAAAGUGGAUUAUCAUCCUCAUGGCUUUCUUUAGAGUGUACAGUUCACAUUAAUAUUCACAUCCCACUUUCUGCUACUUCUGUCAGCUAUACUCUGGAGAAAAAUACAAAGAAUGGACUUACACGCUGGGCCAAGGAAAUAGAAAAUGGUGUUUAUUUGAUUAAUGGACAAGUUAAAGAUGAAGAUUGUGACCUAUUAGAAGGACACAAAAAAUCUUCUAGAGGAAAUACUCAAGCAACUAGUCAUUCUUUUGAUGUCAGAGUGCUAACGCAGUUGCUCCUGAAUUCAGACCACAGAUCCACAGCCACAGUCCAGAUAUGUAGCGGUUCUGUAAACCUUAAGGGUGCUGUGAAAUGCAGAGCUUAUAUCCACAGCAGUAAACCCAAAGUUAAAGAUGCUGUGCAGGCAGUAAAGAGGGAUAUAUUGAACACAGUUGCUGAUCGUUGUGAAAUACUAUUUGAGGAUCUGCUUUUGAAUGAAAUUCCAGAAAAAAAAGAUUCUGAAAAAGAGUUCCACGUCCUCCCUUAUCGAGUCUUUGUUCCCCUUCCUGGAUCCACUGUAAUGUUGUGUGAUUAUAAAUUUGACGAUGAGUCAGCUGAAGAAAUCAGGGACCAUUUUAUGGAGAUGUUGGAUCACACAAUUCAAAUAGAAGAUUUGGAAAUUGCGGAGGAAACAAACACAGCUUGUAUGAGUUCUUCUAUGAAUAGUCAAGCUUCAUUGGACAACACAGAUGAUGAACAACCAAAACAACCAAUUAAAACUACAGUGUUAUUGAAAAUUCAGCAAAACAUAGGUGUGAUUGCAGCAUUUACAGUUGCAGUCCUUGCUGCGGGUAUCUCCUUUCAUUACUUCAGUGAUUAGGGAAACCUUAAAGUCUCAUCUCAAUAUGACAUCAAGUUCAAGUUCAAGACGCAGAAUCUCAUGAUCUAAACCAGUUUCAGUAACAUAUGAGGCACCUUUACUACAGUUUCCCUCAAUCCGAAGAUGUGUGAAACUAAAGACAAGUUUUCUUUCCCAUAUUCACCCAGCCUACGAUGAGUCCUACCUACUGUAUUAGUUGUUAGAGUUGUGGAACUUAACUGAAGCUUUCUCUGGAUUCCAGAUGUUUUAAGAAUAUUUUCAGCUGCAUGGCUUGACAGCCUUGGGAUUCCCUCACACAUUCACAGUCUUUUUUGGAUCAGUCUGAUGUGAGCAUGAAAACUGGGAGUUGUGGAGCCCACUUAGGAAAUGAUUGCAAUUGUCCAGGAGACAGAUGAUGGUAAUUAAGUUUCCAUCAGCCUGGAACUCAGGGGACAGAAGAUACAUAUUCUGUAUGUAGAGAAUCACUGGAGGUCAAACGUCUUUGCCAAUUUGAGUUUUUCCACUUGAACAAGAAAAGACUGUCAAGGGAAAGCCAAUCAAUUUCACAAUGUUUAGUGGAAUGCCUACUGUGUGAAAGCACUCUUCUGUGGACAAGGUACUUCUAUAUACAGCAGCAAGAAAACAGUUUUUAUGUUUCAAAUGUUGACAUUAUGUCCAUGCAGACCCCAGCAUUUGAAUUCAGGUAUGACUUAAUUCCAUGGUCCACACUAUUAACCAGUAAAGUCUCCUGUUUAGGGCAGAUUAAAUUACCUGCUCUAAAAAGGUGAAAUUACAGAAUUUUCUUUAAAUUCUAAACAGCCUUCAGUGGAGAUUCUUCUGGUUCCAAGGCUGUCAUACAUAUCUACUUGCUCUUUUUUUUUUUUAUUUUUGAGCGUGAGAAAGUUAAUUGUAAGGACAGAAUUGAAAGAAAAGCAUGAAUUCCUUAGGAGUUCAAGGACAGCUAUACACUCUAGUCCUAGGAGAAUGGAAUGUCAGCUCAAAAUCUUGGAGGAUACAAUGCUGGCGUAAACACCUUAGCAGCUGGGAGGGGUCUGUUGAUCUUCCCAGUAGGGCUCAAACACCAAGAUUGCGGCUUUCCAUCCCACUAACCGCAUGCACUGCCUGCCCCCAACCCUGCUCCUCCCGCCGUGGCUGAUCUUCUGUCACUAGUUAAUACUCUUCCUAAGGCCUUCCAUAUCACCUUUACUUUACAGCCUGUGCUUCCUCAAUAUAUAUUUUCUUAUUUGUUCUGUUUUCCAUAACCCCCCUCAUGGCCUUGACUCUACUCAAGACACCUAUCUAUAGAAGUUUUUUAAGCCUCCCAUCUAUUGAUAACAGCUUGGCUAUUUCCAUGUUUCCAAAUGAGUAUUCUGGGAGAAUAUGAUUUGUUUAGCCGAAACCAUUUUGCUUCAUUAUGCCAUUGGCAUAAUUUGGCCAAGGUCACACCCUUGGUCUAAUCAGCUUUAGCCAGAUGGCAAGGUUAUGUGAUCUACAUAGGGCUCCCUUUCAGUAGGGGCUGGGGAACUUUUAGUAAUAAAGGGUGUAAAUGAAGCAGGCGCUGUGGCAGACAUCGUUUUUACUAAAAAUAAACCUUUCCUUACUUUGAACUUGAAAACAUGUCCCUCAGUCUUCAAAUAGCAGAAUUAAAUUUAGAGCUGGAAGGGCAUGUUUGGAAACAAGACCAUACUGCUGAAAAGACUUACCAGAAUGAGAUAGUCCUGUAAUUUCUUCUGUUUAGGAUUUUAUUUCCCUUUUCCAAUAUGUGUUCUACUCUUUCUUGUCUGAAUUUUAUUCUUCUUGGUUGAGAAGAGGAAAGCAAGGUAAGAAUUCCAGUUUCUCUUUCUCUUAGCAAUUUAUUACUCAUGUAAAGAGGAGACAUAUCUUCCUUCAUUGUCUUCUUACUAUAUGCAUAAUUUUAAAUCUUUUCAAACAUAUUUUUGAAACCUAUUUUACUUUGGAUUAUAGUAUUCUUAAUUUUAUUUUAUCAUAUUUGAUUGCAUACCCUUUUUUCUACCUUUUUAUAUUAUCCUUUAACAAAUCAUCUGGGCAUUCACUGAGAUGUUACACCAUCAGCCACUUUAUCUUCUCCUUUCCUAAAAAUAUGUGGAGAUAGUUAUUGUCAGAAUUUUAUUAUCUCCUGAUGUUAUUUAUUUUAGAGAGUCUUUGGCAAAAGAGUAUAUAACUUUUUUUUUUUAAGAGAAGGGGUCUCAUUAUGUUACCCAGGCUGGCCUUGAACUGCUGGGGUCAAGUAACUCUCCUGCCUCAGCCUCCCAAGUGGCUGGGAUUACAGGCACCUGCCUUCUGUAAUGCUUAUUGCCUUCUAUAUAUCUGUAGCACUUAUUCUUCUAUAGUCAGCCUUCCUUUUCUUUUCUUUUUGUAGCUUAAGUCCCUUAGUUGUUUCCUUUUGAAGGUUUACAACACAUCCUUGUUACUGGCUGAUUAUUUUUUUGCUGGACAGAAUUAACUCUGGAGUAGCAAUUUAAUGUUUUAUCGUCCAUCUUUUGAAAAAUAUUGUCAAAAGAUGGAGGAUAUAACAUUAUCCUCCAUCGUCAAGAAAUUUUUAUUUGUACUGAAGGAAGCUUCCAUGAUAGUCCAUUUGGUUUCACUAGAUACAAAGGAAUACCUGAGGCUGGGCAAUUUAUAAAGAAAAGAGGUUUAUUUGGCUCAUGGUUCUGCAAACUGUACAAGAAGCAUGGCAUCAGUAACUGCUUCUGGUGAGGCCUCAGGAAGCUUUUAUUAAUGACAGAAGGCAAAGGGGAGCUUGUGUGUCACGUGGUGAAAGUGGGGCAAGAGAGACAGGAGGGAGGUCCCAGACUUUUUAACAACCAGAUCUCAUGUGAACUCCUUACUGCUGGGAGGGCACCAAGCCAUUCAGGAGGGAUCUGCUCCCAUGAGCUAAACACCUCCCAGUAAGGCCCCACCUCCAACUUUGGGGAUCACAUUUCUUUCUUUUUCUUUUCUUUUCUUUCUUUCUUUUUUCUUUCUUUUUUUUUUUUUUUGACAGACUCUUGCUCUGUCAUCUAGGGUGGAGUGCAGUGGUGCAAUCCCAGCUCACUGCAAACUCUGCCUCCCAGAUUCAAGCAAUUCUUCUGCCUAAGCCUCCCAAGUAGCUGGGAUUACAGACCUGCACCACCAUGCCUGGCUAAUUUUUGCAUUUUUAGUAGAGAUGAGGUUUCACCUUUUUGACCAGGCGUUCUCAAACUCCUGACCUCAAGUAAUCUUCCCACCUUGGCCUCCCAAAGUGCUGGGAUUAUAGGCAUGAGCCAUCACACCUGGCCCACAUAUUCUUUUUAAAAAAUCUGAGCAUGUUUCAAUUUUACUCCACAUAUUUUGCUAUCUUCACAGGGAAUGCAUCCCAAAUGCAACAAAUAAUAUGCUUUUCACAUUCCAUUAUGCAUAUUUUUGCAGAAAAUGAAUGUUAUUCUCAGAAGAGAACUCAAAAAGGAUUUCUAUGAAGUCUCUGGCAGAAAACCGAGAAAUUUACAAAUGCAAGAGGGCAUGGAAACAAGAUCAAGAAAGGUGUUUUUCUGGAGACUUUCCAAUCAAAGCAAUGAAGAUUUAAAGUGGAAUAAAAGGAUUGGGCAACAAAUAAAUUGAGGAAGUCUGAUUCCUCAUUGUUGACAGGAAGACAGCCAUGGAUUGGGAAAAGAUUAGAGUGAAUCCUGUGAUGUUGGAUUGGGAUUGAAGAUAUCGAGAAUAAACUCCUGGAUCCAUAUUUCACACCUUAAGAAAGCACUCCAACCCCCAAGGACAUCAACUUCAACAGGAAAGCUGACCCUUCAACUUACCAAAUCUUCAAAAUGACUAUAUAGUACAACAAGCAGAAAAUUUGCUAUGGAGGUUGUGUUAACUGUUGACAUUUAUAUGAGAUUUUUGCUGCAUAUUUGUUAGAAAAGUCUAAACAAAAUUAUAAUAAACAAUGAUUGUGUUAUUAAUUUUUUAACUGUUAUAUCAGUUAUAAAUGCUUGGAAUGAAAAUGCCUUAAGGAAAUUAGUCAAUAAUGUCACAUAUGUUACUUUUUCUAAUUGGAUCUGCCAUGAUUGCUAUAAAACUUUGUCCUUCCACUAUGACUCAUGAGUAAUUUCAAUAACAAACUGCUUGGGAAUUCCCAAUGCCACAGUAGAACUAGUAUAUGCAAACAUUAUUUAUUAUAAGGGUGCACAUAAAGGGAAACUAGGACAAAAACCUACCCUGUUUCAAUUUGAUCUUGUUCUCUUAAGCAUGGAAAAAGAAUACUUGUUGCUAUAACUCAACAACUAAAACUCUUGUUUCUCAGGAGAAAAUGCAAAAAGAAAACCAGUUUAUUUGUCAUUUUUGGUUUUGCAAAUGCUAAUCAAAGUUGGUCUUUAUGCAAUGCAAUUUUUCCCACUCUUAAAACUGACUGAUAACAGCAAAUCAGACUGAACCUCAAAAUGAGUCCUUCAAAAGUAUAAAAGCCUGUGUGCUUAUGUUUAUAUAUUUGUCUGUGAAUGGGGACCAAAUCCUUUUAUAUGCUGGGGAAGAAAAUUCCUUGACUCUUGGUCAUUAGCAAGUCAGUGUACUUUGGGUGCUCAUGUCACUAAAAUAACCUCAUUUAUCCCUCCAAUAACACCUUCUUCUGGCCAGAAGGAUUAUAUUUAUCCUGUUUCAAAAGGAAAACUCCUAGAGCACCUGAGGCAUAAAUAUGUCAUCUUCUGCCCAAUUAGUGUUUUUUUGUUUGUUUGUUUGUUUUGCCUGGAGUAGAACAUGGAGAAAUAUGAUCAUGAUUACUGAUUUCUCUCAAAUCCUAGGCAACCUAGCUGAUAUGGUUUAUCUCUGUGUCCCCACCCAAAUCUCAUCUCAAAUUGUAAUCCCCACAUGUUGAGGGAGGGGAGUGAUUCGAUUAUGGGGGCUGUUUCCCCCCUGCUGUUCUUGUGAUAGUGAGUGAAUUCUCAUAAGAUCUGAUGGUUUUAUAAAUGGUAUUUUUUCCUGUGUGCUCGCUUCUGUCUCCUGCCACCAUGUGAAGAAGGUCCUUCCUUCCCCUUCACCUUCCACCAUGAUUGUAAGUUUCCUGAGGCUUCUCCAGACAUAUGGAACUGUGAGUCAAUUAAACCUUCUUCCUUUAUAAAUUA